UUUCCGUAGGUGAACCUGCGGAAGGAUCAUUAAUGAGUUGUCAUGGGGUUCGAUGCUGGCAGCCAGUUUUUGGAUGCAUGUGCUUGCCCUAACAAUCAUCUUCUUCCAAACACCUGUGCACAUUUUUGAGGGAGUCUUGAGUUGGUUGCCGCUCUUGGGUGAUUUUCUCACAUUCCCUUAAAUCAUUAUACGCUAUUAACAAUGUUGAACGUGCUCUGUGCCGCAAGGCCCUUAAUAUAAUACAACUUUUAACAACGGAUCUCUUGGCUCUCGCAUCGAUAAAGAACGCAGC
rnacentral:misc_RNA from 1 species